rnacentral:rRNA from 1 species
GUUGACCUCGGAUCAGGUAGGAAUACCCGCUGAACUUAAGCAUAUCAAUAAGCGGAGGAAAAGAAACCAACAGGGAUUGCCUCAGUAACGGCGAGUGAAGCGGCAACAGCUCAAAUUUGAAAUCUGGCCCUAGGCCCGAGUUGUAAUUUGCAGAGGAUGCUUUUGGUGAGGUGCCUUCCGAGUUCCCUGGAACGGGACGCCAUAGAGGGUGAGAGCCCCGUCUGGUCGGACACCGAGCCUCUGUAAAGCUCCUUCGACGAGUCGAGUAGUUUGGGAAUGCUGCUCUAAAUGGGAGGUAUAUGUCUUCUAAAGCUAAAUACCGGCCAGAGACCGAUAGCGCACAAGUAGAGUGAUCGAAAGAUGAAAAGCACUUUGAAAAGAGAGUUAAAUAGCACGUGAAAUUGUUGAAAGGGAAGCGUUUAUGACCAGACUUGGCCCGGUUGAUCAUCCAGCGUUCUCGCUGGUGCACUCUGCCGGUCCAGGCCAGCAUCAGUUCGUCGCGGGGGAUAAAGGUUUCGGGAAUGUGGCUCCUCCGGGAGUGUUAUAGCCCGUUGCGUAAUACCCUGCGGUGGACUGAGGUCCGCGCUUCUGCAAGGAUGCUGGCGUAAUGGUCAUCAACGAC